rnacentral:rRNA from 1 species
UACGUAGGGGGCAAGCGUUGUCCGGAAUCAUUGGGCGUAAAGAGCGUGUAGGCGGCCAGAUAAGUCCGCUGUGAAAUCUCGAGGCUCAACUUCGAGCUGUCGGUGGAAACUGUCUGGCUAGAGUCCGGAAGAGGAGAAUGGAAUUCCUGGUGUAGCGGUGAAAUGCGUAGAUAUCAGUCGGAACACCGGUGGCGAAGGCGGCUUCUUGGGCCGUUCCUGACGCUGAGGCGCGAAAGCCAGGGGAGCGAACGGG